GGCCUACCAUGGUGGUAACGGGUAACGGGGAAUUAGGGUUCGAUUCCGGAAAGGGAGCCUGAAAAACGGCUACCACAUCCAAGGAAGGCAGCAGGCGCGCAAAUUACCCAAUCCCGACACGGGGAGGUAGUGACAAUAAAUAACAGUACGGGGCUCUUUCGGGUCUCGUAAUUGGAAUGAGUACAAUUUAAAUCCCUUAACGAGGAACAAUUGGAGGGCAAGUCUGGUGCCAGCAGCCGCGGUAAUUCCAGCUCCAAUAGCGUAUAUUAAAGUUGUUGCAGUUAAAAAGCUCGUAGUUGAAUUUCGGGAUUGACACAUCGGUCGUGCCUUAAGGGGUAUGAACUGGUGUAGUCAAUUUCUCACCUUCUGGAGAACCACGAUGCCCUUAAGUGGGUGUGGCGGGGAACCAGGACCUUUACUUUGAAAAAAUUAGAGUGUUUAAAGCAGGCAUUUUGCGUGAAGACAUUAGCAUGGAAUAAUAAAAUAGGACGGCAUGAUUCUAUUUUGUUGGUUUCUAGGAUCACCGUAAUGAUUAAUAGGGAUAGUUGGGGGCAUUAGUAUUCAAUUGUCAGAGGUGAAAUUCUUGGAUUUAUUGAAGACUAACUACUGCGAAAGCAUUUGCCAAGGAUGUUUUCAUUAAUCAAGAACGAAAGUUAGGGGAUCGAAGACGAUCAGAUACCGUCGUAGUCUUAACCAUAAACUAUGCCGACUAGGAAUCAGACGAUGUAUUUUUAAUGACUCGUUUGGCACCUUACG
rnacentral:rRNA from 1 species